AAAAACCUAUUUGCAUAGGAUUCUUAGAAUUAUUCUGGUAUCUAUAAAUACAAGAAGCUCAUAAAAUAAUCAUUUCUGAGAAUCAAGUUUGGGCUGAACUUCAGGAUAUAUUUCUUUUAUACCAUCUGAAGCAUUGAACACUUGGAAGCCAGUUCUUAAACGAUGUCUCAUGUCAAGACGUCUCAUGUCAAGACACCUAGUGAAGAUGUCAUAAAUAUGUUGGAGAAACAUGCUGCGGGAAUUACCAGGAAUGAGUCUGAAAAUGUUAGACUCAUCGUCGUUCACAAGGAGCGAAAUUCAGGGAUGAAUAGUUUUGAUUGGGCUAUCUUUCGAUUAGUGAAUUUUUUUACUCUAGUUGUUUUGCUGAUGCUAUUUUAUCAUUUAUUAAGCAAUCCAAAACGAGUAUAAGUAAAGCAACUGUAAAAAUGCUUGUACUCUACUCUGUAAUAUAUUGUUUCGUGAGAAAAAAUUACGUCUGUGAAUUAAGUAAAAAAGUCAUUAGAUUUCAGAAUGUUUUGUUCCCCUUACAAGGGUUGAAGAAAUUUUGUGAUGUUUCUGGAAAACAAUAAAGGUAACCAAUACU